rnacentral:piRNA from 1 species
UGACAUUGUAUGGAAGAGAUUGCAUCACUGU